rnacentral:rRNA from 1 species
UACAGGCUUAACACAUGCAAGUCGAGGGGCAUCAGGAAGAAAGCUUGCUUUCUUUGCUGGCGACCGGCGCACGGGUGAGUAACACGUAUCCAACCUGCCCUUUACUCGGGGAUAGCCUUUCGAAAGAAAGAUUAAUACCCGAUAGCAUAAUGAUUCCGCAUGGUUUCAUUAUUAAAGGAUUCCGGUAAAGGAUGGGGAUGCGUUCCAUUAGGUUGUUGGUGAGGUAACGACUCACCAAGCCUUCGAUGGAUAGGGGUUCUGAGAGGAAGGUCCCCCACAUUGGAACUGAGACACGGUCCAAACUCCUACGGGAGGCAGCAGUGAGGAAUAUUGGUCAAUGGGCGGUAGCCUGAACCAGCCAAGUAGCGUGAAGGAUGAAGGCUCUAUGGGUCGUAAACUUCUUUUAUAUAAGAAUAAAGUGCAGUAUGUAUACUGUUUUGUAUGUAUUAUAUGAAUAAGGAUCGGCUAACUCCGUGCCAGCAGCCGCGGUAAUACGGAGGAUCCGAGCGUUAUCCGGAUUUAUUGGGUUUAAAGGGAGCGUAGGUGGACUGGUAAGUCAGUUGUGAAAGUUUGCGGCUCAACCGUAAAAUUGCAGUUGAUACUGUCAGUCUUGAGUACAGUAGAGGUGGGCGGAAUUCGUGGUGUAGCGGUGAAAUGCUUAGAUAUCACGAAGAACUCCGAUUGCGAAGGCAGCUCACUGGACUGCAACUGACACUGAUGCUCGAAAGUGUGGGUAUCAAACAGGAUUAGAUACCCUGGUAGUCCACACAGUAAACGAUGAAUACUCGCUGUUUGCGAUAUACAGUAAGCGGCCAAGCGAAAGCAUUAAGUAUUCCACCUGGGGAGGACGCCGGCAACGGUGAAACUCAAAGGAAUUGACGGGGGCCCGCACAAGCGGAGGAACAUGUGGUUUAAUUCGAUGAUACGCGAGGAACCUUACCCGGGCUUAAAUUGCAGUGGAAUGAUGUGGAAACAUGUCAGUGAGCAAUCACCGCUGUGAAGGUGCUGCAUGGUUGUCGUCAGCUCGUGCCGUGAGGUGUCGGCUUAAGUGCCAUAACGAGCGCAACCCUUAUCUUCAGUUACUAACAGGUCAUGCUGAGGACUCUGGAGAGACUGCCGUCGUAAGAUGUGAGGAAGGUGGGGAUGACGUCAAAUCAGCACGGCCCUUACGUCCGGGGCUACACACGUGUUACAAUGGGGGGUACAGAAGGCAGCUAGCGGGUGACCGUAUGCUAAUCCCAAAAUCCUCUCUCAGUUCGGAUCGAAGUCUGCAACCCGACUUCGUGAAGCUGGAUUCGCUAGUAAUCGCGCAUCAGCCACGGCGCGGUGAAUACGUUCCCGGGCCUUGUACACACCGCCCGUCAAGCCAUGGGAGCCGGGGGUACCUGAAGUACGUAACCGCAAGGAUCGUCCUAGGGUAAAACUGGUGACUGGGGCUAAG